UGUGAUGCGUUCUUUUAUUCGACAAUGUUAACUAUUGUUAACAAUAGUUAACUUUCAUCGUUCCUAAAUGAGAAAAAAGUUACAAAGUGUAACAUCGUGACGUCACAACAUCGUUCCUAAAUCCAGUGUUGAAGUGUCAAAUAGUUACAUUUUGUUACUUUUUCCAACUCAGCUUCUGGACUUGAGUUUCAAUGUUAAUCUGUCAAACACAACUAAAUGGGGAAGAGAGGGGAUGAUAUCAACAAAAUGUAACAUUUAGUCGUUCCUAAAUCAAAGUUAACAUUUUGUAACAAAAUGUAACAAAAACAAAUACAACGAUUUUUUUGACAUAACAACAAUAGUUAACUAUAUUCAAUAAAAGAACGGACCACUGA